CCAAUAGCGUAUAUUAAAGUUGUUGCAGUUAAAAAGCUCGUAGUUGAAUUUCGGGAUCAGUACGCUGGUCGUGCCUUCGGUAUGAACUGGUGUCACUGGUUCCUCCCUUCUGAAGAACUGUCAUGCCAUUCAUUUGGUGUGGCGGGGAAUCAGGACUGUUACUUUGAAAAAAUUAGAGUGUUUAAAGCAGGCUCGCGCUUGAAUACAUUAGCAUGGAAUAAUGAAAUAGGACGUUUGAUCCUAUUUUGUUGGUUUCUAGGAUCGACGUAAUGAUUAAUAGGGAUAGUUGGGGGCAUUAGUAUUCAAUUGUCAGAGGUGAAAUUCUUGGAUUUAUUGAAGACUAACUACUGCGAAAGCAUUUGCCAAGGAUGUUUUCAUUAAUCAAGAACGAAAGUUAGGGGAUCGAAGACGAUCAGAUACCGUCGUAGUCUUAACCAUAAACUAUGCCGACUAGGGAUCGGAUGAUGUUAAUUUUUUAAUGACUCAUUCGGCGCCUUACG
rnacentral:rRNA from 1 species